rnacentral:sRNA from 1 species
CUACCUGUUCCGCUUCCGUAACAUAUACUGGCUUCAUUGUCCCGGCGUGCAACGGAAGAAUACAACGGAGAGAGAGAGAAAGAGAGAGGGACAGGGAAAAAAAACGAAGAUGAUGAAAUACUAGAUGUGGGUCUCUUUUGUGGAGGAUAAUCUUAGUUCUGAACAAACGGCAGUGGAAGUAGUAAUUUGUGCCUGUUUUUUUGACACUUAAUGUGUGUGUGUCUUUUAAUUGGACAGCAUUGAAUUUCUUUCGACUAGAUCUAGAUGUAGCUGGGUUUUAUCAGUUGGGAGUGACUAGACUGUACAUUGUGUAGGAGAUUCCAUGGAUAUGUUCGUGUGACAUAGUCGUUUCUGAUCAUUUUGAGGCAAAUACAUGCGGAUAUUGGUUGAAAAAUUGUUUCCUAGUGCUAUUGGUAACAAUACCGCCUUGUUGUGCAACACAAAUUGUGCUGAUAGUUCCCAGACAGGUUCCUGGAGUUCCUACUAUUUGAUAGUCCCCAGACAGGUUCCUGGAGUUCCUACUACUUGAUGAUCAAGGAGUAAUACGAGCUACAGCUACACCUGAACUGGCUCAUCGCAAGUUUUUCAUUCAGCAGCCUGGAUCCAAAGUGCACUAUGGGAGAACCUAGUACUUGGAGAUUCAACAAGGCUGUCCACUCAGCCUAUGUCCUGGGACUACCUAUACCAGAGGU